rnacentral:misc_RNA from 1 species
AAUGCAUUUUAGGUUACAGAAUUAGUGAAGGUAAAUUCACAAUCAAGUUGCUCUCUUUAACCAAUAAUCUAAGGUAGUUUGAGACCAAAUUAAAUAUUAAUGGCUUAAUGAAAAUAAACAAAAUUAAAUUUAAAUAGUUAAAGGACGAUGAAAUGAACCCCUUUGAAUAUUUUCAUAAUUUUUGAAACUUUGAACAUAAUUAAUUAGACUAUACUAAAGUUUGGUGUAUGAGUUGGAGAUUUGACAUCAGAAUUAGGCUAAGAUGUUUUCGUAGGCCCCGAAUAGGUAGUGUGAUGAGAGUUGUGGGCUUAAGCUAUUUGUGAGGUUGUCACCCUUUCAUAUCUAUGUUUGCCUUGUAGUUGGUUAAGUCCUAGAUAUAAAAGAGACUCUGUAAAAUACUAACAAAACUUAGAUUGCUAUUACUCUUACUUUUGUAUAGAUAUUAAUGUGUUUGUAUAGGUGACUUGAGCUGAUUGUCCUUUUAUUCGCAGUCAAACCAGUAGUAGUCGAGUCAAUCAGUCUAUAAUAUUAAAUAUUUUUAUAUUUUUAAUAUUAUUACAUUUUUAGCAUGCCCAUGAAUUUACUUACACUAGGUAUUUAAUGAUUAUAUUAGAAGCAUCCUUUAUUUAUUGCUUUAUUAUUUACAUUUUGCUACCCUGGGGAUAAAUUGGAGCUUCUAUGUGUGUGUGUAGAUAGGUUAUGGUUGUAGCGUUACUUCUUGACCAGGAUAUAUAGAUUGGGUUUUGGUGGUAACUUUACUCUUAUGGCUACUUUGGAUUUAAGAGACUCAUGUAGUUUUGCUCAUUCGGCCACAACUGUACUUAAGUGGUUGAAUAAAGAAUCAAUUCCCAUAUAGUAAUAUAUGCGUACAUAUGUAUAUUGGUAUGUGUGAGUGUGCAUGUAUAUGGAUAUGUUGUGGUUAUAGCUUUGCUCCCCAACCAAGAUUUAUGAAUCUGGUUUUAACAGUAGCUUUACUCCCAUGCUCAUUUUUGGACUUGAGAGAUCAAACUUGUAGGUUUGCUUCUUCGAUCAUAAUUUGACUUAAAGUGGCUGAGAAAUGGGAUCAACUCCCAUGUUAUAUUUGUUUGUAUUUAUAUUUAAUGUGCGUGUGAGCGAGAGAGAGUGUUUUAAUUUGUGUAUAUCACAAAAUAAAGAUGUCCUCCUUUUUAUUAGUGGAUUAGGCUAGGCCCCUCACUUAUUAUGGUUGCAGAGUAGAGCUAUGCUCUUUUGUAUUAGUGGGCUAUGUUAGGCCCUUCACUUUUUAUGGAUUAGGGUUGAGUUGGGUUCCCUUAGACGUAUAUGGAUAUGGAUUAGGAUUAAGGCAGCCUCCCUUAGAUGUAUUUAUGUUUAUAGAUUUCAUGGUAGAGCUAGGCUCCCCUAAACGAGUGGACUAGGCUCCUUUAUGCUUGUGUGUGCGGGAUGCGUGCGAUACUCUAUAUGUGUGUGUAUAAUUGUGUGAUGUGUGUAAUUCCAAAUUAUUUUCUUGUGCAAAGAUUUGAUGAUACAUGUGCUUUAUGUGCUUGGUAUUGAAUUAUCUAAGUUAGGGUUAUAUUAGUAUUUGGUAGUUAUAAAAAUUAUAACUAUAUUUAAUACAUGCACUCAAUGAGUCAAGCGCUCAUUUCUGUUCAAUAUUUUUCUCCGAAUGACAAGAAAAGCACUUUCAUUUUAGAUUGUAACAUGCAUAUUCCUCAUAAGGUAAUGUUCUGUUUAGUUAGUUUAUUUAUAUUUUUUUAUUUACUUUUAUUCUUAGAACUUACAUUGAUAUGUAUAAUGAAUAGUUAGGCUCUCUUAAUUCCUACGCAGUGUAUUGAGUUGAGUUGAACUCCAUAAAUUAUGUUAUUUUAUUUAUUUUUUUAUAUUACAUAUGUUGGGUUUGGUUAUAUUUUUUUAGAAUAGUGUGUGUUACUAUAGCUUUGAGGCCUUAUGAUGAUUCAAAUCCUAGUGUCAAUUCGAUCUAUGUGACUAGGUCAUGACAAAAAUUUCCACCUCUAAUUAAACCUAAGUAAAUUGAUAUUAAAAUUUUAUAUAAAAAUAAUCAAUUAACUAAUACAAUAUUACUUUUAAUAGGAGACACUUAUUUAUAAAGGAAAAGAAAA